GAGUUUGAUCAUGGCUCAGAGCGAACGCUGGCGGCAGGCCUAACACAUGCAAGUCGAGCGCCGUAGCAAUACGGAGCGGCAGACGGGAGAGUAACACGUGGGAACGUACCCUUUGGUUCGGAACAACCCAGGGAAACUUGGGCUAAUACCGGAUAAGCCCUUACGGGGAAAGAUUUAUCGCCGAAGGAUCGGCCCGCGUCUGAUUAGCUUGUUGGUGAGGUAAUGGCUCACCAAGGCGACGAUCAGUAGCUGGUCUGAGAGGAUGAUCAGCCUCACUGGGACUGAGACACGGCCCAGACUCCUACGGGAGGCAGCAGUGGGGAAUAUUGGACAAAUGGGCGCAAGCCUGAUCCAGCCAUGCCGCGUGGGUGAUGAAGGCCCUAGGGUUGUAAAGCCCUUUUCGGCGGGGAAGAUAAUGACGGUACCCGUAGAAGAAGCCCCGGCUAACUUCGUGCCAGCCGCCGCCGU
rnacentral:rRNA from 1 species